rnacentral:rRNA from 1 species
CCUACGGGCGGCAGCAGUGGGGAAUAUUGGGCAAUGGGCGCAAGCCUGACCCAGCAACGCCGCGUGAAGGAAGAAGGCUUUCGGGUUGUAAACUUCUUUUGACAGGGAAGAGUAGAAGACGGUACCUGUCGAAUAAGCCACGGCUAACUACGUUCCAGCAGCCGCGGUAAUACGUAGGUGGCAAGAGUUGUCCGGAUUUAAUGGCUGUAAAGGGCGGGUAGCCGGGUUGACAAGUCAGAUGUGAAAUCCUUCGGCUUAACCGAAGAACUGCAUUUGAAACUGUUGAUCUUUAGUACUGGCGCGGCAGACGGAAUUCCGAGUGUAGCGGUGAAAUGCGUAGAUAUUAGGAGGAACACCAGUGGCGAAGGCGGUCUGCGGGACAGCAACUGACGGUGAGGCGCGAAAGCGUGGGGAGCAAACAGGAUUAGAUACCCUGGUAGUC